rnacentral:rRNA from 1 species
AGUGAACGCUGGCGGUAGGCCUAACACAUGCAAGUCGAACGGCAGCACAGGAGAGCUUGCUCUCUGGGUGGCGAGUGGCGGACGGGUGAGGAAUACAUCGGAAUCUACCUUUUCGUGGGGGAUAACGUAGGGAAACUUACGCUAAUACCGCAUACGACCUACGGGUGAAAGUGGGGGACCGCAAGGCCUCACGCGAUUAGAUGAGCCGAUGUCCGAUUAGCUAGUUGGCGGGGGAAUGGCCCACCAAGGCGACGAGCGGUAGCUGGUCUGAGAGGAUGAUCAGCCACACUGGAACUGAGACACGGUCCAGACUCCAACGGAAGGCAGCAGUAGGGAAUAUUGGACAAUGGGCGCAAGCCUGAUCCAGCCAUACCGCGUGAGUGAAGAAGGCCUUCGGGUUGUAAAGCCCUUUUGGUGGGAAAGAAAUCCUGUCGAUUAAUACUCGGUGGGGAUGACGGUACCCAAAGAAUAAGCACCGGCUAACUUCGUGCCAGCAGCCGCCGUAAAAC